GCGGGCUUGGCUGAUCGGUUAGGUUGUGGCCUUCCAAGCCACUUAGGCGAGUUCGAUUCUCGCAGCCCGCUCCA
rnacentral:tRNA from 1 species